rnacentral:rRNA from 1 species
UACGAAGGGGGGCUAGCGUUGCUCGGAAUCACUGGGCGUAAAGCGCACGUAGGCGGCUUCUUAAGUCAGGGGUGAAAUCCUGGAGCUCAACUCCAGAACUGCCUUUGAUACUGGGAGGCUCGAGUCCGGGAGAGGUGAGUGGAACUGCGAGUGUAGAGGUGAAAUUCGUAGAUAUUCGGAAGAACACCAGUGGCGAAGGCGGCCCGCUGGACAAGUAUUGACGCUGAGGUGCGAAAAGCGUGGGGAGCAAACAGG